UACAGAGGGGCAAGCGUUGUUCGGAAUUACUGGGCGUAAAGGGCGCGUAGGCGGCCUGCUAAGUCGAACGUGAAAUCCCUGGGCUCAACCCAGGAACUGCGUCCGAUACUGGUUGGCUUGAAUCCGGGAGAGGGAUGUGGAAUUCCAGGUGUAGCGGUGAAAUGCGUAGAUAUCUGGAGGAACACCGGUGGCGAAGGCGGCAUCCUGGACCGAUAUUGACGCUGAUGCGCGAAAGCCAGGGGAGCAAACGGG
rnacentral:rRNA from 1 species